GACGAACGCUGGCGGCGUGCUUAACACAUGCAAGUCGAACGGAAAGGCCCUGCUUUUGUGGGGUGCUCGAGUGGCGAACGGGUGAGUAACACGUGAGUAACCUGCCCUUGACUUUGGGAUAACUUCAGGAAACUGGGGCUAAUACCGGAUAGGAGCUCCUGCUGCAUGGUGGGGGUUGGAAAGUUUCGGCGGUUGGGGAUGGACUCGCGGCUUAUCAGCUUGUUGGUGGGGUAGUGGCUUACCAAGGCUUUGACGGGUAGCCGGCCUGAGAGGGUGACCGGCCACAUUGGGACUGAGAUACGGCCCAGAAUCCUACGGGAGGCAGCAGUGGGGAAUAUUGCACAAUGGGCGGAAGCCUGAUGCAGAAACGCCGCGUGCGGGAUGACGGCCUUCGGGUUGUAAACCGAUUUCGACGGUGACGAAGAGUGAGUGACGGUAAUGGGUAAAGAAGCACCGGCUAACUACGUG
rnacentral:rRNA from 1 species